rnacentral:lncRNA from 1 species
GAUGAAGACUGUGGUUUAUUCUCUUUUGGGGGUUUAUGCGGAUCACCGUAAGACGGUGCUCCGGCGCCGUAGGGAGACGGAACGGGAGCGUAAGGGGAGUGAGAUUGAGGAGGUGGAGCACCGUAGGGUGAUGGUGGAGCACCGUAAGGUGAUGGUGAAGCACCGUAGGGUGAUGCUGAAGACGGUGGUGGAGCACCGUAAGGUGAAGCUGAAGACGGCGGUGGAGCACCGUAUGGGGUGGAGGAGUACGGCUGAGAUGACGGUGGCUGGCCGUAACCGUAGCCGGGAACAUUGUGCGGGUAACCGGACAUUUUUGAAAAGCUAGAGAGAGAAAAUUAAAAAGAUAAAU